GUUGCAACUAAUAAGAAUCCCUAAUAGGGAUUGAAAC
rfam:Tolypothrix bouteillei VB521301 scaffold_10, whole genome shotgun sequence.